AACCCCAUCUUCACUUUGCCAUGAGGACCUCUUUAUGUCCUGUGUGGUCAUUCCUGUGGGGGAGAGAAAUCCUCCUUAUGCACCCUGGCCAGACUGUGCCAUGUCUACACCAGAUUGUCAAUAAGGACACACAC
rnacentral:snoRNA from 1 species